UAGCCGCAAAGCCGCGAGGCGGAGCAAAUCACAAAACCCGGUCUCAGUUCAGAUUGCAGGCUGCAACUCGCCUGCAUGAAGGCGGAGUUGCUAGUAAUCGCGAAUCAGAAUGUCGCGGUGAAUACGUUCCCGGGCCUUGUACACACCGCCCGUUACACCAUGGGAGUCGGAAAUGCCCGAAGUCAGUGACCUAACCGAAAGGGAGGAGCUGCCGAAGGUGGAGCCGGUAACUGGGGUGAAGUCGUAACAAGGUAGC
rnacentral:rRNA from 1 species